GGGUGGGUCCGACGCGGCAGAGAUCUACGAACUGUGUCAGGUCCGAGAGGAAGCAGCACUAAAGAGAACCCUCUGGGUGCCGUCGGUGCACCUGCCCGGG
rnacentral:SRP_RNA from 1 species